rnacentral:rRNA from 1 species
AACGAACACUGGCGGCAUGGAUUAGGCAUGCAAGUCGAACGAGAAAGUUCCCUUCGGGGGAUGAGUACAGUGGCGAACGGGUGAGUAACGGGUGGAAAACCUGCCCUUUAAUGGGGGAUAACAGUUCUAACGAGCUGCUAAUACCGCAUAAUACCUUAGGAUCGCAUGGUCUCUAGGUUAAAGGUGGCGACCUCUUCGGAGAGCUGCCGUUAAAGGAUGGUUCCGCCUCCCAUUAGCUUGUUGGUGGGGUAAUGGCCUACCAAGGCGACGAUGGGUAGCCGGCCUGAGAGGGUGUCCGGCCACACUGGGACUGAGAUACGGCCCAGACUCCUACGGGAGGCAGCAGUCGAGAAGCUUCGGCAAUGGGCGAAAGCCUGACCGAGCGAUGCCGCGUGAGCGAAGAAGGUCCUAUGGAUUGUAAAGCUCUGUCAGAUUGGGAAGAAAACCUCAUGGUUAAUACCCGUGAGGCUGACGGUACCAUCAGAGAG